CAUGAUUUUCUGGCGCCGUCAAAUAUAAAUUCACUGUGUCGAGUGUCGUGGCGGCGGUAAGCGCCAUAGCGGCAGCGAAGCAAAGGAAUGGAACUCAUUUGCCCUAUCGAUCAACGCUGCUCUCAUCAAAUAGCCGCUCUUCUCCGGCCCCCGUCUCCUCCCAUCGUCCAGGAGUAUUUCGACCAGCUUAUCUCGAAACGCAAGUGCCAAGGCAUCAAAGUGAAACAAAACGGCGACUUAGGAAAAGGCGUGUUUGCCGAAACUGAUUUUGAAGAAGAACAACUUAUUUUUAAGGAUGAAAUGCUUGUUGGAGUUCAGCAUCCUUCAAACAAGAUUGAUUGUUUAGUUUGUAGUUAUUGUUUCAAAUUUAUUGGAUCAAUAGAGAAACAAAUAGGGCGAAAACUGUAUCUGAAAACAAUAGGAAUAGGAAAUUCUUCACAUAAUGGAUGUCAAAGCAAUUCAUCUGAUGAUGAAGAAGACAAUCAUUAUGUUCAAAAUCACCAUAGUUCUGAAAAUGGAGCUUCUAGCAGUUCUGGUAGUACUAUUCCUUUGCCUAUGAUGGCUGUCGAGUCGUUAAUGAAUGGUGAAUUAGCAUUGCCUUACUCCAACAAGUUUCCCUUACCUUCUGUUGUUUCAUGCCUUGGCGGAUGUGAAGAAGCUUUCUAUUGUAGUAAAUCGUGUGCAGAGGCUGAUUGGGAAUCGUCUCAUUGCUUACUUUGUACUGGGGAGAAAUCAGAGUCUUGUUCUAGAAAGGCACUUUUAAAAUUCAUACAACAUGCCAAUGAAACAAAUGAUAUUUUCCUCCUUGCUGCCAAGGCAAUUUCUUUCACCAUAUUAAGGUAUAGGAAGUUGAAAGCAUCUCAUAUGAGCGAACAAGAGAAGCCUGCAUCUAGUAUAUUAGGAACUGAUCUAUCCUUACUUUUGGAGGCCUGGAAGCCAAUAUCAAUUGGACAUAAGAGAAGGUGGUGGGACUGUAUUGCCUUGCCGGAUGACAUUGAUGCAUCGGAUGAAGCCACAUUUAGGAGGGAAAUACAGGAGCUUGCAUUCACAUCACUUCAGCUCCUCAAGGAAGCUAUUUUUGACAAGGAAUGUGAGCUAUUAUUCUCCCUUGAAAUCUAUGGGCAUAUUAUCGGCAUGUUCGAGCUCAAUAAUCUUGAUCUGGUUGUAGCAUCUCCGGUGGAAGAUUACUUUUUGUACAUUGAUGAUCUUCCAUAUCCUGAAAAGAAAGAAGCUGAGAAAAUUACACAACCAUAUCUAGAUGCACUUGGUGAGGAUUAUUCCAAUUGUUGCCAAGGUACUGCUUUCUUUCCUUUGCAAAGCUGCAUGAACCAUUCUUGUUGUCCUAAUGCAAAAGCAUUCAAAAGAGAAGAGGAUAGAGAUGGCCAAGCGACAAUUAUUGCCCUCCGGCCUAUUUGCAAUGGAGAGGAGGUGACCAUUUCAUACAUAGACGAGGACCUUUCAUUUGAAGAGAGACAAGCAUUGCUUGCAGAUUACGGUUUUAGAUGCAGGUGCCCCAGGUGUUUAGAUGAAGAACGCUAGACCCUAAAUUGCCAAUGAAGUGGUUGUUUCAUAGCAUUCAGAAACAUAAACCAGAAACAUCUCUAUGAGAAUUAUUAAAUGUUAGUACAAGAAGCUAUGGAAGGAGCUGUUCCCCCUUUGGAUCUCUAUGCCAUUAGAUUGCAGAUUCAUUAGCCUGCUCAGAGGUCAACUCGAGAAUUUGUUCAAGGGAGGUCGACUUUGUCAAAAGAAGUCUGUUGUUCCAUUGGGAGCUGAUGGAUCCUAACCAAGUUGAUAUUGUCUGCAUCGAGAGUUUGUCUCUUAACUAUGCCGAGAGCACGAGUGCUUGAAAAGGUACUCAACGAGGCGCUUCAACUUUGUUAGACACUCAAAUUUUCAGUAAAGUCAAGAGACAAAAUCUUUAUUGGAGUCCAUAUCGAACAAGGGGUUUACAGAUUUUGACCAUAUUAAACGUAUUUUUUUAGAUUAAAUAAUUUAAACCCGAAUUAAAGUUAGAAGUUAUAAAUAAUAAAUAGGCAUGAUGUGAUUCAAAA